AAUUUGAACUGCGCUGAUUUGAGUGAUAAAGUUAUUUCUCAGCUUGCGGGCGCGUUAAAAAUACAGCUAAAGCGAGGUCUGUCCCGUU
rnacentral:ncRNA from 1 species